AAUGUUGAGAGAUAUCAACGU
rnacentral:misc_RNA from 1 species